rnacentral:tRNA from 1 species
UGGAGUGUAGCUCAGUGGUAGAGCCAAUGCCUGAUAAGCAAUUCCUGGGUUCAAUCCCCAACACCACAA